UACAGAGGUCUCAAGCGUUGUUCGGAUUCAUUGGGCGUAAAGGGUGCGUAGGUGGCGCGCUAAGUCAGGUGUGAAAUUUCGGAGCUUAACUCCGAAACUGCAUUUGAUACUGGUGUGCUUGAGGACUGGAGAGGAGACUGGAAUUCAUGGUGUAGCAGUGAAAAUGCGUAGAGAUCAUGAGGAAGACCAGUGGCGAAGGCGGGUCUCUGGACAGUUCCUGACACUGAGGCACGAAGGCCAGGGGGAGCAAACGGG
rnacentral:rRNA from 1 species